GCCCCCGUGGCGCAAUGGAUAGCGCAACGGCCUUCUAAUCCGUGGGUUGCAGGUUCGAGUCCUGCCGGGGGCGCCA
rnacentral:tRNA from 1 species